GAAACACACAUGUCAAUGCCCACUGCUAUCAUGCCCCCAAUAGAAACACACAUUCACAUGUCCACUGCCGUCAAUGCACUCUACAGAAACAAUUCUGCAGACUGCACUGUACAGAAAAACACAUGGAAAUGCCCAUUGCUGUCCUCACUCUACAAAAAAACAUUUUCACAUACCAAAAGACUUCCUACACUCUAGAGAAACACACACUCACAUUCACACUGCCAUCACUGUACGCUAGAGAAACACACAUUUACAUGCCCACAGUAUUGCGGCAUCCUCUGGUAGUACUAUGUCCAAUUUCCUGAGGAACCACCAGAAUGAUUUCCACAGUGGUCGUACAAGCUUGCAAUCCCACCAACAAUGGAGGAGUGUUCCUCCUUCUCCACAUCCUCGCCAGCAUCUGCUGUCACCUGAAUUUUUGAUCUUAGCCAUUCAGACUGGUGUGAGGUGGAAUCUCAGGUUUGUUUUGAUUUGCAGUUCCCUGAUGAUUAAGGAUACUGAACAUUUUAUCAGGCACUUCUCAGCCAUUCCGUAUUCCUCGGGUGAGAAUUCCUUGUUUAGCUCUGAGCCCCAUUUUAAAUGAGGUUAUUUGAUUUUCUGGAGUCCACCUUCUUGAGUUCUUUAUAUAUAUAUUAGAUAUUCGUACCCUAUCUGAUUUAGGAUAGGUAAAGAUCUUUCCCAAUCUGUUGGUGGCCUAUUUUUCUUAUUGACG
rnacentral:lncRNA from 1 species